AUUUUGUUUCUCACGUCAAAGCGUGUUUUAUUUGUUGCAUCCUGCUUCAUUUUCAGAAUACUAUCACUACUUCAAAAAGCACUGAAUGAUUUCUCUUCCAAGUCUGUAUUUUUUGAUGAGUGCUCUGCAAAAUUGUCAAUAUUCAAUAGAAUAUUUAAUAAUAAGUUAAGAAUUAUACUUGGGAAAGUAUUUUCUAAUGAGAGGUAAUAUAGAUGAAUAGUUUUAAAAAAUUAAAACAGCUAGUAGAUUACAUGUACAUAAGAUUGGAGAGUGAUACAAAUAAAUAACUCCUGUAAAAAAACACUGAAGCAUAGUAGAGAUGCUUCUUCAUCAAUUAUUUCCCAACCUCUGAAGAUAUACAAAUAUGGUAAAACAAAUAUAGUUGACAUUUUUUGUACUAUUUUUGCAAGUGAGUUUCCUAGUAGAGUAGAUAAUUAUAAAAUUGUUUUGUGACUUAAUUCUGAAAAAGAAACCAAGAAGGAAUUUACUUGUGAAUAUCCUUUUCAAAUCUCCCCUCUUAUGCUUCUCUUCCAAUAUAAGCAAGAACAGUGUCAUUUUCUGAAUUUAGCACAGUUUUUAUCUUUAGCCAAAGAAUUUCAUCACUAGAUGAUCUCUUUUUCUUUAGUGCUUCCAAAUGAUGUUUGUGAUUUCCAGGUAUCCAACCAUGUCUUGAUGGCUUAUCCUGGUUUUUGGAAGUUCAGGUUGAUAGGAUGCCAGAGAGGAAAGCUCACACAUUCCUCACACAAUUAGUUAGGAUGCAUUUAAUUGUAAGUCACAAAAUAUUCCUGUUCAACAGUUGCCCAAACAGUACAGAUAUUUGCAAUCUCAUGUAAUAGUAGGUCUUGAGGUGUUAAAUUCAAAUUUGGUAUACCAUUUGGUGAUGUCAUUCAUGUUUUUCUUAAUAUAUUGUCUUUAAUUCCUAGACCUCAGUCAGAAGAUAGCUUCAUGAAGUUGCACGCAGAGGAAAAAUAGGGGAGGAAGGUUCUUGCAGAACUUCAUUUUGGAAGGUGGAAAUAUUUAAUGGGAGCACAAGUAAAAUUUCUUUUUCAUUUCUUUGUCCAGAACUGUGACACAUGGCAAAUCUUAGCUGGAAAGGAGGCUUGGAAAGAGAACAUUUGUCUUUUUCUACUUCCGUAGAGAGGAGUCAAGUUCUGAGAGCAAGAAGGAAGAGAUGGAUCAAGUAUAGGUAUACACUCCACUGUCUGAAUUCCCUAAUAAAUGUGAAAAUGAACAUGAUGGAAAAAGCUUGAACAGCCGCUUGAGCCCAGAAAUGGAAGCUUCAUGUUGAAGAUUAUGAUACAAAAGAUGUCUGGGUUCCUAAUAGUUUUUUGUCAAAUCAUUCAUUGAAUUCUUAGUCUCAGAUGCUUAACUGAAGGUAAAACUAACUUCCAUCUCAUUUUUCAUGGUAAUUGUUAGUUACUUUCCUUGUUGCUAGGACACAAUACCCAACAUCCACAAUUUAAAGGAAGAGUGAUUUGUUUUGGCUCAGGUUUUCAUUUCAUGGUCAGCUGGCUCCAAGGCAGAAAGGGAAUGGUGGAAGACUGUGGAGGAAAGCUGCUCUCAUCAUGACAGCCAGGAAGCAGAGAAAGAAAGAAGCUGAGAAGGGAAAUAUAUCCUUUUCGGUCAUGCCCCUCUGAGCUGCACCUCUCAAACAGUCCCCACUUCCUAACAGCACAUUCAGCUACAGAUUCGUCAGUGGAUUAAUCCACUUGUGAGUAUAGCACCCCCACAAUCUGAUCACCAUCCACACACAUACAUAUUUUGAGAAACUUUUUAGAUCUAAACCAUAACAAUAACAUUUCAUUGUUAGAGAAGCUGGAAUCCAUAUUCUAGUUAAUAUACCCUAUGACUGCUAUCAUUUAGGUAUUUUCUUUGGUGGUCAGUUCAAAUAUUAACAUAUUUGUAUAAAAUCAGAAAGUUGAUCUUUACUAGCUGACUUGUAGAAAAUGGGGUAGUGAUCUCUUUUUGUUUUUUGACUUUCUUUUAUGGAAUGAAUUAUGUUAUUCCCCCCAAACUAUAUUGAAGUCCUAACCCCCAGUGCCUCAGCAUGUGACUUUAUUAAGAAAUAAAGCAGUCGCCGGUGUAAUUAGUUGAGAGAAUAGAUUGGAUUGGCAUGGGCACCUAAUCCAAUACACCAGUGUCUUUAUAAAUAGAUUGUCUUUUAAAGAGAUGUACCUAAGGAGAAUGAAAUGCGAACCUGAAGACAAUGAUUAGAAUGUCCCUACAAGCAAAGAUGCCUAGUAAACCACUAGAAAUCACCAGUGGUAGGCAUGGGACAGACGCUCUCUUACCAAUCUCAGAAGAAAUCAUCCCUGCUAACACUUUGACCUUGGACUUCCAACCUCCAAAACUGUGAGACAACACAUUUCUGUGAUGCCACCAACUCUGUGGUAUUUUGUUAUGGCAGUCUAUUUAAUCCACAUAAUUUGUGGCACUUUGAACUAGCAAACUAAUAUACUGGAAAAUGGACUAGUUUCCUCAAAUUUAGGCACCAGCCAAAAGAGAUUCUUGGGUGCCUUAUAGGCAG
ensembl:lncRNA